GGCUACGCGUAAACGCAGCCGCGGUUCGCGUCGAGUGUUGAAUGCACUCUCGCGGCCCCGAUCCAAUGCAGUUCCUGUGUCCUCGCGGGGAUCGUAUCGGCGAGAUCGUUAGCCGAGCCAUUCGCUUCGUUGAUCCACUCUGACGCGCUUGAUCCUCGCUGAGGUCGGGAGCAACGACGAGUCACAUCGAGGAUUCUUAGUGGUCAUACUUAUCGGAGAUGGCGUUAUUCCGUAAAUUUUUCGUCGUUCCGAGUGCUGAGAAAAUACCACGACAGAGUUCGAGUAAUUAACGAAUCAUGCUCGUACGAAGCUAAAGAAGAACACCUGGAGGAAAGUAAACGAAAGCGCCCCGAUCGAUGAAGGAUCGGUUUGACGAGCACACAGCUGCGCAUGCGCGCAAUCGGAGCGACACGUUUGAAAUAAUUCAACAACCAAGUCACGAGAAUCACGAGAUCUCGAGACAAGAGCUGGCGGCAAUCCGUGAAGGCUCAGAUACGACGCAUUUCCAUCACAACCGAGAUGAUUCCUGUGAGAUAGAUCAGGAACUUCGCCUCUGACCUGAGUCACGAAUGAGGUUAAGAAUGUUGCGGAUCGACGAUGCAAAGAAUGUAUUAUCUUGGUUCACGCACACACGCCUGUACAUCGAAUCCACCUUCGUUGAUUUACAUCUUCGAGGAAGCAACAGGAUGAUCCACGGAAACAACCUUAUUUAUGGCGAGAGAAACACAGAAGUACGUGUCUCUGGCUGCAAUUUUUCAACCACAGUUUCUCUUGUUUCUUCUCUGCGGUUACGAUAUAACAAGCAUUUCCGUCGAAAGGAUACAUGUGGUCAGAAGGACGUAUAUUAUGAAAAUGUUUCGAGUAGAAUGAUGUUGUAUUCCACGAACUUUUCGAGUGGUUGUCAGAAAUAAGGAACAGAUUGAAUAUUUUAAAACGGAAGAGUUAUAUGUCUGAAAUAAUUUUAUUGAAAAAUUAUCGAGGUAAAGACAAUGUAUCUCGCGCUUUUUUUGUGAAGUAUAUUUAAUAGAAAAUUUCCGAGAUCUACAGUCAUGUACUUUAUUCAGCCAAAUUAAUUUUUUAAUCACUUCACUUGGGUUUAGUUUUUCAUCUCAAAUUUUAUCUCGUGCACUAAUAAUAUUAAAACUUUUUAUGGCUUCUUUUCAUGUAGCUACUAGAUUCUCAUGUAAAGAUUUUUUAUUUCCUAAUGUGUAAUGAAAUAUUCUCUAAAUACCUACAUCUACAUUUAUGCAAGUUUCAUCACAUCGUGAAGUAAUUUUUCAACAAAUACUCGAGACAAGAUUUUUGUUGAGACAAGAUAAAAAUACAGGGAAUAUAUAAAACGUGAAAAAUAUAAUUCUGAUGCAUAAUACGUUGAAAUUUCUCUGGUCCCUCGUGUUUUUCUUCUAACUUCUACUAUUAUAUUUUAAAAAACGGAGAAGUUCAUCUCAGCAACCUCGAUACCGUUACCAUUCUCGUCUUGCUCCUAUAAUUCGAUGAUGACAGUUAUUAAACGAAUUACUACUACUAAUUCACCUCGCAAUGCCGCGCGUAAAUCGUCAUUCCCUCGAAAUGUUUUCAAUUACCGUCGCGAUUAGGCGUGAUCGUCGUGGCAAACAUUCUCACGUGACCGUAAUGAACAUCUUGAUAGCAUUCAUCGUUCAAUUUCCCAUGGAGAAAGGAACAAGGAAUCGCGACAACCGUGACAACGAACCAUAAUAUCGUUACUCGCGAUCCGAUUUAACUAACGUGUACAGUAAAUUGCUGACCUAUCCGACUAUACACGGUAAAUUUUGCUCCCUUGAAACACCGGUCGUUACCGUGUUUCUUUUUCGUCCUAUACAGUCAAGGAUUGCCAAUUGCCUAAAAAUCUCGUAGCUUGUAGGAACUGCUAACACGGUUAUGAUUCGCC